GCUGUUCUGUGCUCUCCUGGAUGUGAGGAAGAAACCUUUAGACUUGGAGUUAUGGAUUCCCAGGUGUCUUCCCCAGGCUGACUCUGGUCUUCUCUAUCUCUUCAGGCAAGAUGUACAUCUUUGGAGAUGCUAACCACCAUCCACUCCGGCCCAGUGCUGAGGGAGCUGCUCCCAGAGAUCCUCUGUGCUCUUCUGGAGCAAGUUGGCCACACUGUGGGCAGGACAUGCCAAUGCCCACAGGGAGCGUCCGGAGGAGGCAGAUGCAGAAGGGGCAGCUGUGAGCAGUGGGCAACCCUUGCAGGGCUCUGCUCCUGUUGGGCAUUAUAACACCCAAAUUCAUAGGGCAGGUCCUGCAGUGGGUCACUUCCACAACUGAAAACCUGCGUGUUACUGGUACGGCCUUCAUCAGCCAGCUUAUAUGUGACCCCACCAUCAAAGAGCAGAAGCUCCUGAAGCCAGUGAUUCGUUUACUUCAACAGUGAGCCAGGGACUCUAAUAACCUGGUUCGGCAGAUGGCAGCCAGAGGACUGGGCAAUAUACUUUAUGGUGCCCUGGAGCAGGUGAGGUUGAAAUCCCUCUGCAAUCUCUAGGAUGCACGACCUUACUGAGCCCAUCUUGAAACUCCUUGGGCUUGUCUUCCUCCUGGGAAAGAGGCUGCGCUCCCCUGCAUGUCCACCUGCUGCUGGAGUUCCUGCCACCCCAGCUUGUCAGGGAAGGCUGGGUCCAUGCUCGGCCUGCCCCUGUGCUCAGGGUGCAGAGAGGCUCCUGGUGCCCUUUACACCUCCACUCCAGCCCAGGGAGAGAGGCAGGUUUCUGUGGUUUAGCAGAGAAGUUGGGAGCAGCCUGUGUGUCCUGGCUCACAGCCCUUUACUCAGACCAUGAGACCCAACAGUAAAUGUGUUGGCUACAACCCACCUGUGAUGGCAAACACAGCACAGCGGGGCUAAAGACCUGCCUCCAGGCUGAGUUCUCCUUGUGCCCUGACCAUGGGAAGCUGAUCUGUUCUCUCUGCUGUGUGUUUAGGCAUCAUUAUGGAGUAUGCUACCCCAGGGAGUGCCAAAUGGAUAGAUGUUACCCACCUGCUGAGCUGUAAGUCAGAAAUCCAGCCCCUGUACUUCCCUUCUGGAGCCCAGAAGGAGCUGAAAAGAGCAGGGACUGACCCCUCCUCCUGCUUUGGAGCCCAGUGCAUCCACUCUGCCCUGAGAAUAACCUAAGAGAGCCUUGCCCCACCAAGGCAGCGCACAUUCCCCUGGAGUAGCAGGGCACAGCAAGGAGGAGCUGAAUCCAUGCAUCUCCUGCCUGUCCUGCCCAGGUCCCUCCCCAGCCACAGCUGCCCAGGCUCUGGCCUCCCUUGGCUUCCUGGGGUCCCUUAGGUUGGGGAAAAUUGUAACCACUGGGUGCCACUGCCAAUCCUACCCUGAGCAGCCUGUCUGUCAGAUCCUUUCAUCAGGUCCAAACCAAUAUGAACCAGGCCUGUUCCACACCAGGUCUGAAUGCCCAGUCACAUCCCGUUGGCAAUGGCAGCUCUUGGGAAGGUUUCUGCUGAGGAAGGCAGGAGAAUCUUGUCAGUGGAAGCUGCUGAGGAUCUCAACCUUCCGCCAUGGGCAGCAAAUCUGCUCAGUGCCCAGCAGAACCAGCAUCUCCCCUCAGCUGGCAAUGCAGGAAGCUCCCAAUGGAGGAGUCACAGCCACAUCUGUGUGGGAGAGUUUCUGUAGCUGGGACCCAGAGGGACCACAAGUCUGUGGCUAUUCGAGGCACUGGUGAUGAGAUGAAAGAAGCAACACUGCAUCCAUUGUGCACUGCCCACCCGCACAUCACGCCUGAGCCCCGUUCCCCAGGGAUGACCUUGCUCUGGCGCUGCCAGCACGUGUGACCAGUGUUCCCCUGAGGUGGAAGCGUCUAUUCAUUAACGUCUCCCUCUCUCCUUCCGGCUCUGCAAACUCUGGAAAAGGACACAUCUCAGGAGGUCCAAGUCACAGAGGUCCAAGUCACAUCUCAGGUCACAGAGGCCAUUUCUAAAAUCCCUUGGGGCAGGCCAUUGCAAAAGGAGGAAAACCGUGGGCGUACCCUGCCCCAUAUCAUUUCAUCACUUUGUUUGUGUGCCUGAGGCCCUGCUCCAUGUAAAAGCGAGCUCCCGUGUGUGUAUGUGUUUGAUAAUAAAUUGUGAUCUGCGUU